rnacentral:misc_RNA from 1 species
GCUUGUGCGAUGAAUCCCUGAGCGGAAUUCCUAUCUUUUGGGUGAUGCUUAGUUGGCGCUCACCCUUGCCAAUCGCUCGGGAUGUGCGUGGGAUGCAACUAAUCUCUCCCCAGCUGAGCUCUUCAUAAUAUAGCAGCUUUCCAAUGGUUUGCCUGCUAAUUUAAAGAGAAUGGUUGUGGUGGAUCGUGGGGCUAUAAAUGUGGCUUAUUUCGGAAGUGGAUGGUGUUUGGCCAUCCCUCGUGAGGGGUUUUUUUUGGAGGUAGCUCGCUCCCCAUCCUAUGUGCGACUUUGGUUUCUCCUCCCCAACUGCACGUGGCUGCUGCUGGGGCGGGAUCCAAGUUGCAUCGAGGCUGAGAUACCUGGUUGAUCCUGCCAGUAGUCAUAUGCUUGUCUCAAAGAUUAAGCCAUGCAUGUGUAAG